UGGCGGACGGGUGAGUAAUGCCUGGGAAACUGCCUGAUGGAGGGGGAUAACUACUGGAAACGGUAGCUAGUACCGCAUAACGUCGCAAGACCAAAGAGGGGGACCUUCGGGCCUCUUGCCAUCGGAUGUGCCCAGAUGGGAUUAGCUAGUAGGUGGGGUAACGGCUCACCUAGGCGACGAUCCCUAGCUGGUCUGAGAGGAUGACCAGCCACACUGGAACUGAGACACGGUCCAG
rnacentral:rRNA from 1 species